rnacentral:sRNA from 1 species
UGUUACUGUUGGCCCUGUAAUAUAGAGGUGUGAAUUCUGUUACUCUUAGCCCUGUAAUAUAGAGGUCUGAAUUCUGUUACUCUUAGCCCUGUAAUAUAGAGGUCUGAAUUCUGUUUCUGUUGGCCCUGUAAUAUAGAGGUGUGAAUUCUGUUACUCUUAGCCCUGUAAUAUAGAGGUCUGAAUUCUGUUACUCUUGGCCCUGUAAUAUAGAGGGGUGAAUUCUGUUACUGUUGGCCCUGUAAUAUAGAGGUCUGAAUUCUGUUACUGUUGGUCCUGUAAUAUAGAGGUCUGAAUUCUGUUACUGUUGGUCCUGUAAUAUAGAGGUGUGAAUUCUGUUACUCUUGGCCCUGUAAUAUAGAGGGGU